AAGAAAUUGAAAUUUGAUAUGAAUCAUUGAGAUUACAAUUUUUUUUUGCUAUUUUUUUGAGGAGUUUUGUAUGAGAAUAUCAGCAAAUGUGGAGCCACCCGUCAGGUCGUAUAUCACGUCGUUUCCGAAUAGCAGAAGACAUCGCCUCGCGGUAACCAAUCACGAGUGCAGCUUGUUCAUCUCUCGUUUUUGGUAGUACUUCUGACGUGCGCAACUGAAGGUGGUGGAAGUUCGUAUUUUUAUUGUAAAAUUUGUAAAGAGAAUGGCAGCUCACUGGAUGCGAAAUGCUGUCCCAAAAAUCGGCUCUGUCCGCUUUUAUAGUAGUAAAGUUCACAAAUGUACACUUAUUCCUGGAGACGGUAUAGGACCAGAGAUCUCUGCUGCUGUCCAGAAAAUUUUUGAUGCUGCCAAGGUACCGAUAGAAUGGGAAUCUGUAGAUGUCACACCGGUAAAAGGUCCAGAUGGAAAAUUUGGAAUCCCACAAGCUGCAAUCGAUUCAGUUAAUAGGAAUAAAAUUGGUUUGAAAGGACCUUUAAUGACUCCUAUAGGCAAAGGACAUAGGUCUUUAAAUCUUGCCUUAAGGAAAGAAUUUAAUUUAUAUGCAAAUGUUCGACCCUGUCGUUCCUUAGAAGGUUAUAAAACAUUAUAUGACAAUGUUGAUGUUGUCACAAUAAGAGAAAACACAGAGGGAGAGUAUUCUGGUAUAGAACACGAAAUUGUGGAAGGUGUUGUACAGUCUAUUAAGUUGAUUACAGAAGAAGCUUCCAGACGAGUAGCAGAAUUUGCUUUCCAAUAUGCUCAGAAUAACAAUAGAAAAAAGGUUACUGCUGUACAUAAAGCAAAUAUUAUGAGAAUGUCAGAUGGUUUAUUCUUAAGGUGCUCUAGGGAAGCUGCACAAAAAUUCCCUUCUAUUAAAUUCGAAGAAAGGUAUCUAGAUACAGUAUGUUUAAAUAUGGUGCAAGAUCCCAGCCAAUACGAUGUACUUGUAAUGCCUAACUUAUACGGAGAUAUUUUAUCUGACAUGUGUGCUGGUCUGGUAGGAGGACUUGGCCUUACACCAAGUGGCAAUAUUGGUUUGAAUGGUGCAUUGUUUGAAUCUGUGCACGGAACCGCUCCGGAUAUUGCAGGUCAAGAUAAAGCAAACCCGACAGCCUUGCUACUAUCUGCUGUGAUGAUGCUUAAAUAUAUGGGAUUGAACCAACACGCAAAAAUUAUCGAAAACGCUGCCUAUGACACCAUUAAGGAAGGCAAAUAUCUAACAGGAGAUCUUGGAGGAAAAGCAAAAUGUAGUGAAUACACUGAUGAAAUUUGCAAAAAGGUUGCAGCAGUAGCGAAGUAGAUAGUGUAAAUGUUUAUGAAAUAUAAACUGCCGAAUACUCGUAGAAAUGAUUCGCGUCAGGUGAUGGCGUGUGUCUUGUACAAGGUGCAUCUCGGGUUGCAGCGGGGGUGGUUUACACAAAGGUGGAACAUACUCGAGGGCGAAGUGUGGAAAAGCAAGUGGACGCAUGCAUAUUCAGCGUACUCGGAGGCCGACGUAGUCAUAGGAAUAAUAAAAAUUCGAGGGUUGAAAUUAUUUA
rnacentral:misc_RNA from 1 species